CCCUUCGUAUAGCCCUUUCAUUUCGUAACAGAUUUUGUGUCGCCCUGGGGACACUAUUUCGUAUGAUUCAUGACCUAAAAAACAUGCCCUUCGAUGACGUACUCUUCUACCUUGUCUCUUUGCUCGACAUCCAGAACUCCCACUUGGAGUGAGUCGAGUUUGUCCCCGUUCAAUCAUUUCUGAAAUAGGAACCAAGAAACAAUAAGAAUUUCACCACUCAAUGUGACACUUAUGUCACAAUUUAUCAUAGAAGACAAAAUCUGUUAAAAUUAUUAUGGACUAAUUAAGACAAAAAAAAUAUCAAGUCUAAUCCAAUCACUUAUUUAUUUAAAAUUAUAAAAGGAUUCACUAUGCCACCUUUAUAGGAUAUUUUCAUGUUAAUUAAAAAAAAAAAAAUCCCAAAAGAAAUUAUAUGUAAAUUACCGCACUUUUCUUUUAUUCAAUUAAGUGCCAGCAACUUACUUUUACAAUGUAAAAUGGUAACAUAUAAGCAUUGUGACUAUUACUGAUUCUAAUGAAUUUUAAUGUUUUCCACAGAUACAAUUAUUCCAUUUAAAGCAUAUAAAUAUAAAUAUUUCUUUUCCCAAGAAUUAUAACGGGAACUAUUCCCUUUCAUUUCUUUUCCUUUUUUUUUUCAAUUAAUCCCUCAUUCCCUUAAAGUUAAAUUCAACAAAAAAACCUUCAGUUGCUUAUUAAAAGGUAAAAAAGGAACGAACUACUCUACUUUUUCUUCUUUAGAACGCUUCUUAGUUCAUCUUUUUUAAAAAAUUAAAUUAAAUUAAACACAGUUCCAUAACAGAACCUUAAAAGAAAUUGUCAGAUCCGUAAAUACAAUUUUGAGCGUCUGAUAGAAUCCGAACAAAAAAUUGUCAUAGUGACGUUUCUAGUCAGAUCCAUAAAUUCAUACAACCAGUCAUGGAGAUUUUUCUCCCAGGUAUGUUCAUACACCAUUUUUUUCAAGAGUUUAACACUCUUAAACUCAAAAAAUUAACAUGUAAAAAAUGGUGUAAUAAACCUGGCUCUGAUAUCAUUGAUAGCAAAUUUAUAGUAAAAAAGUGUAUGUACCUUAAUAUGUUGCAGCGGAAGUAUUGAAUUUGCUACUGACACAAUCGCCCCAAGUAAAUCUUCGUCUCUCUAGGAAACGGAGAGUUGAUUCACAAACUAAAAGCCUCCCUUUUAGAUUUUUG
rnacentral:lncRNA from 1 species